rnacentral:misc_RNA from 1 species
AACCAUUCUCACCUGCGGCUAGACCUGCGGAAGGAUCAUUACAGAGUUGCAAGACUCCCUAAACCAUUGUGAACCUACCUUCUACCGUUGCUUCGGCGGGCGGGCCCAGCGCCCCCCCCGGCCCCCCGCGGGCGCCCGCCGGAGGAUACCCAAACUCUUGACAUUAGUGGCCUCUCUGAGUAUUCUUUACUGAAUAAGUCAAAACUUUUAACAAUGGAUCU